rnacentral:misc_RNA from 1 species
AAGUCGUAACAAGGUUUCCGUAGGUGAACCUGCGGAAGGAUCAUUAGUGAUUUGGUCCUCUGUGGCCUCAUAACAUAUAAUCUAUAUCACCCGUGAACCUGUGGCCGUUGGGCCACACCUUUUCAAAAAAUCUGUGUAACGAAUGUCAAUGUAUAUCAUAACCAAUAAGAAAACUUUCAACAACGGAUCUCUUGGCUCUC